rnacentral:piRNA from 1 species
UGAGUAAAUAACUAAUUACCCAAAUGGGCUUC